GGAUUCAAAGUAAAACAUGUAAAGGACCUUUUUGAUGAAAACGGAAAAUUUAAAGAACUAGAACAUUUCAGUCAUAUCUUAAAAGUGAAAGCCAACUGGCUAUGUGAAUACACAAUUCUGAAAAUAAUUUUCAGAAAAAUUGAAACACAAUUUGCUUGCCAAAAAUCCAUAUAUAUUAACAUCAAGGAUGUAGUAAAAGUACAUUUAAGAAAUAACACAACUGUAUUAAUCAAGGAAUUAAAUAGUCAAGUAAUUUAUAAUAUAAUUAUAUCCAUGACAUUUGUUUUGCCAAUAUAUGGAAACAAAUGGUCUAGAGAAUUAAACUAGUUUUAAGGAAUUUAGAAAUUCAAUUUAUAUAUCUAGAGUAAGAAAUAUCUUAAACAAAUCAGUAGCAGAAUUCAAUUACAAAUUAUUACAUAACUUGACACACUGUAAUUUAUCACUGAGCAAAUGGCAAAAGGAACAAUCUAGUUUUUGCCAAUUAUGUAAUGUUAUAGAAAAUUCAAAGCACUUACUCUUUGAGUGCAAAAAUGUACAAUUUAUUUGGAACACUGUUGGAAAAUACUUCAAUUUCAAGAUUACAUGGAAAUUAAUUGUUCUAGGUUUUUAUCUACAAGAAAACAACACAACAAACAGCUACAACAAUGUGAUAUCUUUUAUUGCUAUGAAAAUACAUAAAUUUAAAAUGAAAUGUAGAUUUGAUAAUUGUGAAGAAAGUGUUCAUGGUCUCAUGGUGUAUAUUAAGAAACAGUUAUUUUAUGAAUUCUAUGCAUGUGAAAAAAUCAAAGCAAAUUAUUUUUAUAAAAUACUAAAGGAUAUUGCUGAAAAGAUAUAAUGUAUAUACAAUGUAUAUAUAUUUUGCCUGUAUGCAUUAUAAUAAGUUGAUAUACUUGAAGGGAACAGUCCUUCAAGAUAAACAGGUCGGGGGCACAAACUUGGACUCUGAAUUAUGUGACCCCUGACUACAUGUAUAAUAUAAUAUUGUACAAUUUUAUUAUUAUUAUCUUUUUAUUUCUGAAAUUGUAUGUAUAUGAAUUAUAUGAACUAAAUGCCUUUCUAAUCCAAGGGGCCCCUGGCACCCUAGGUGAGGAAUACUUAGGGGAUAUCUUCAGAUAUUUUACCCCAAAACUAGUACAUGUACUUACUUAAUAAAAUCAAUGUCAACUGUAUUAAAAAAAAAAAAAAAAAAUGGAAAAAUUAUAUGAAAAUAAUAGUCUCCAGUAAUACCUACAUUUUAACUCAUAUGAGAAAUCUUAUAACAGUUUCAAUAUUUAGACAGAUCAUGAGAUGGAAACCAAUGUAAUUGAGAUGAAAAGGGAGUACAACUCAAAAUAUCAAGGAAAAACAAGAAAGGCCAUUGUGAAUCAGCAGAUGAUGUCCUAUACAACCAUCCUUCCAUGACACAUGCAAUGGGAAGGAAACAAUGCCUGUCUGAAACUCCAAAAUGACAUUUCCAGAAAGCUGAAGAAUGGAUAAAAAUGUAUCUACCAUCUUACAACCCAGAUUUCAUUCCACUGAAAAGAAAAGGGACAGGAAAUUUUGCAUGUCCAUGUCUUGGAAGGUGAAUAGGUGAAAAGUCAAUAGAUGCUUACCAUAUCAGAUGCUUGCAGAGGAUACUGGGGAUAAAGUAGCAGAAAAUUAUGGAAAACAGGGAAGUGGCAGCCAGGACUAUGGAGGGGAGGUGACAAUGACAGUGAGAUGGCGUUAGGUUGGACACCAGAAGGGAAGAAGGCAUUUAAGAGACCGAAAACAACCUGGAGAGGAACAGUUGGAGCAGAAAGAAAGAUUGCAGAAUGGAGAAACUUGAAUGAGAUCAAGAUGAUAGCAAUAGAACAGAGCGGAUUGGAGAGAGUCUUGGUCCUAUGUGUUUUGGCAUGGAGAGAACUAAGUAAUGUCUAGAUUGUUGGAGAUCGGAUGACCAGGAAUAUGAAUGGAUGUGCUGGAAACUGUACUAAGACCCUUAUGUAUUUGGAUUGAUUUACAUACCAUCAUGAGUUUGCUAUGAAAAACUUGAAAAAAUCCUCAACUCAUAUUGUAGCUGACAUUAUACAUUUGUACUUAUUUAAAAUAUUUCAAAUGAACAUAUUUUUAGACAUACAAUAUCUAAACUUUGGAGUCCAAGUACAUCUCCACAUUGGAUAAUAGGUUAUGAUAUAUGUGUGUGAAAUCUUUUCCUAUGGUAUGCACAUGUUAACACAUUAGUUUAAAUGAUGAUGUAUAUCUUAUGACUAUGGAAGAGAAUGUGUUCAGAACAGAAUAUGUGUUUAGAAGAGUUGUUGCCCUUGAAUGUAAUUCAUUAUUUACAUGGGGUUGAAAAAUAAUCCAGCACACAGUAGUACUAAAUGCAUUAUGUUAAAAUACAUUUAUGAAUGGUAUAAGUGAUACUGUCAGUUAUUGAUUAAUACACU